rnacentral:tRNA from 8 species
GGCCUAGUGGUGAAGAUGGCAACACGACGGUCUGCAAAACCGUUAUGCGAGGGUUCGAAUCCCUCCUAGGCCU